ACGAACGCUGGCGGCGUGCUUAACACAUGCAAGUCGAACGGAAAGGCCCCUUUGGGGGUACUCGAGUGGCGAACGGGUGAGUAACACGUGAGUAACCUGCCCUUGACUUCGGGAUAACUUCAGGAAACUGGGGCUAAUACCGGAUAGGAAUCCUUGCUGCAUGGUGGGGGUUGGAAAGCUUCGGCGGUUUUGGAUGGUCUCGCGGCUUAUCAGCUUGUUGGUGGGGUAGUGGCUUACCAAGGCUUUGACGGGUAGCCGGCCUGAGAGGGCGACCGGCCACAUUGGGACUGAGAUACGGCCCAGACUCCUACGGGAGGCAGCAGUGGGGAAUAUUGCACAAUGGGCGGAAGCCUGAUGCAGCAACGCCGCGUGCGGGAUGACGGCCUUCGGGUUGUAAACCGCUUUCAGCAGGGGCGAAGCUUGUGGUGACGGUACCUGCAGAAGAAGCACCGGCUAACUACGUG
rnacentral:rRNA from 1 species